rnacentral:rRNA from 1 species
CAUGUAGGCGGCAUCGCAAGUCAGGUGUGAAAGCCCCCGGCUCACCUGGGGAAUUGCAUUUGAUACUGCGGAGCUUGAGUGAAGAAGGGGAGAGUGGAACUGCUGGUGGAGCGGUAAAAUGCGUAGAUAUCAGCAGGAACGCCGGUGGAGAAGUCGACUCUCUGGUCUUCAACUGACGCUGAGAUGCGAAAGCGUAGGGGAGCGAACG